rnacentral:rRNA from 1 species
CCUACGGGAGGCAGCAGUGGGGAAUCUUGCGCAAUGGGCGAAAGCCUGACGCAGCCAUGCCGCGUGAAUGAUGAAGGUCUUAGGAUUGUAAAAUUCUUUCACCGGGGACGAUAAUGACGGUACCCGGAGAAGAAGCCCCGGCUAACUUCGUGCCAGCAGCCGCGGUAAUACGAAGGGGGCUAGCGUUGCUCGGAAUUACUGGGCGUAAAGGGAGCGUAGGCGGAUAGUUUAGUCAGAGGUGAAAGCCCAGGGCUCAACCUUGGAAUUGCCUUUGAUACUGGCUAUCUUGAGUAUGGGAGAGGUAUGCGGAACUCCGAGUGUAGAGGUGAAAUUCGUAGAUAUUCGGAAGAACACCAGUGGCGAAGGCGGCAUACUGGCCCAUUACUGACGCUGAGGCUCGAAAGCGUGGGGAGCAAACAGGAUUAGAUACCCUGGUAGUCCACGCUGUAAACGAUGAGUGCUAGUUGUCGGCAUGCAUGCAUGUCGGUGACGCAGCUAACGCAUUAAGCACUCCGCCUGGGGAGUACGGUCGCAAGAUUAAAACUUAAAGGAAUUGACGG